ACGAGUAGUAAGCACCAUGCUAGUGGACGUCCUCAUCAAUUUAGUACGAGAACGACGUGUUAUAUAUGAUCCUAGUGAUCCUGUGCACCGAGAUCGUGAUGCCAUUGCUGCUUCAUGGAAGGAUAUUGCUACAGAAAUGAAAUGCAAAGCUUAUGCUCAGCCUCUUCCUCUUCAUCAAGAAUGAUGGCAAUCAUUGCCAGUUCAACGUCUGAAAACUUUACCAUCUUGGAAACCACUGACGUAAUACGUAUGUGUGAACAGACGUCACUGAAGCAUCACAGAUUUCACUGACACGGAACUGAUACGUCACUGAUGUGUGUGAAUGGACCUUUAUGAUGGACAGCCUCGGUCACUAUAUGAGCGAUAGGUUGAUAUGGCGGGACACCAGCAAGAUGAUUACAGUCUGGCCAGUACUCUCUAUCACACUCCGAAUAAAUAUGCCUUACAUUGUCUUGAAACAUGGUCCAAUGAAAUCCUUUGUAUGGUCCAAUGAAAUCCUUUGUAGUAGCGUUGAAUUAAUAAAUCAUCACUAAAGUCCA